AGCAGAGGCAGGAGAGAGAUAAACAUAGUUCAAGGGCAAGGCCAGACAUGCAAGAGGGAAAGCUUAUCUGUAGUGGGUAGAGGUUGAGUAGAAUGGCGACUGUAGAGAAGCAUUGGAUUGGCGCGUCCCUUGAGACCCUUGAUGGAGAUAGCUGGUGGGGAGGGACGAGGAGAACAGAGUUUAUAAGAAAUUAAGAAGAACAUCCUAGUUGGAGGGAUAUUGGGAUUUUUAGAGAAUGUGUUGGAGCAGGACAGAGGUGUUGGAGCCAAGAUAAAGUCCCUAAGAAAAGAAGUAACUACUGUGCGGUACAGAAAAGUGGAGACAAGAGGCUUUGCAGCAA
rnacentral:lncRNA from 1 species